CAUUUCUCUGAGAUCUCCCUGUAGCUCUUAGCUGGCUGGGAGCUGGUUGGGCUUGCUGGUUACGGACCGCUGCCCCGCGGGCGUCUGAGUUAGCCGCGGGUAGCCUUGAAAAAAAUCAAACAGAAAGGAAGACGUGCACUGUUGAAGGCUAAGGAAAAAAGGAAAUUGGAACAUAGACACUUAUAGAAGGAAGACCCUGUGAAGACAGAGGGAGAAGAUAGCCAUCUAUAAGCAAAGAGAAACGAUCCCUGUCAACACCUUGAGGUGCUCCGCUCACCUUAACUUCAGCCUCUGAGGCCAAGAGACUUGGAAGAAACCGACCCUGUGGACAACUUGAUCUCAGACUUCUAGUUUCCGGAACUAUGAAGAGGAUUUAUACCAUGAAGCAGAGAAUCCCUGAAACAAACAAGACAGACACACACUACAGCUGACAUGCAGUGCUGUCAAGAGCACCUGUACACAGCCAAUGGUUGACUCAGCAAUGGUCAGAGCCAAAAGAUCUUCUUCCAGAGACUUGAAGAUAUUAUGGAAGAACUUCGCAGUGGAGAGCCCGAACUGGUACUUGGAAUAAACAGAUAUCAAAGCCUAACAGCUGAACUUCUUCAAGCUGUGGCCUCUGGGCUUCCCUAAUAUAAGAUCCUAAUGGCUCAUCCUACUUCCUUCAAGGUACCUCUUCCGGGAGAGAUAGUGACAAGUACAUCACAAAGGAGAGAGGGUUUGGUGGUGUGCAGAUGUCAGGUCUGAGACAUCCGGGGCCACGUUAUUACCAUGAGCAAAGCCAGACUGUACAUGAAGCAAAGCCAGAGAAGGCUUCUUUUCUUCCUUCGGGUAAUUUGAGAGACUUGAUUGUUCCUCUUUUCCUUUUUGACAUUUUGAGGAUGACCCAUGGUCAUUUUUAUCUCUUUGACAAAUUCUUGUAAUCUCUGCUUUAUAAGGAUUCAAUUCCCAUCUCCCUCCACUCAAGUAGCUAAGCUCGUCUUGUUUACUUCUCUCUUCUUGUAACCAAGUAGCAUAUUUUAUUUCCCACUUUUCUCUACCUCCUACCUUAACCCUGCAUUUCUCUUGUGUUUCCAGGUUGGUUUAAUCAGAGUAAUUCAUUCGCCGAGGACCUGAGUAGCCUGGGUGGUUUUUGUUUGUUUGUUUUUGUUUUUUUUUUUCUUUUAAUAAAAGAUAAAACUAAUUCAAUCCACAUAACUGACCUGAAGUACUGAGUUGACAUUUUAAUUUUAGAAGAAAGUUAGAUCUGUUACAGGUUUAGGAAAUAAGGUUACAGUUGGGGAUUUCUGGAUUCUGACAACCCAAGACAUUCAGAUCUAUUCAAGGCAAGUA